rnacentral:rRNA from 2 species
CUCGGCAACGGAUAUCUCGGCUCUCGCAUCGAUGAAGAACGCAGCAAAAUGCGAUACUUGGUGUGAAUUGCAGAAUCCCGUGAACCAUCGAGUUUUUGAACGCAAGUUGCGCCCGAAGCCAUUAUGCUGAGGGCACGUCUGCCUGGGCGUCACGCAUAG